AACGAACGCUGGCGGCAGGCUUAACACAUGCAAGUCGAACGCAUCCUUCGGGGUGAGUGGCAGACGGGUGAGUAACGCGUGGGAACGUGCCCUUCAGUUCGGGAUAACCCAGGGAAACUUGGGCUAAUACCGGAUACGUGCGAGAGCAGAAAGAUUUAUCGCUGAAGGAUCGGCCCGCGUCUGAUUAGCUAGUUGGUGAGGUAAUGGCUCACCAAGGAGACGAUCAGUAGCUGGUCUGAGAGGAUGAUCAGCCACAUUGGGGCUGAGACACGGCCCAAACUCCUACGGGAGGCAGCAGUGGGGAAUAUUGGACAAUGGGCGCAAGCCUGAUCCAGCCAUGCCGCGUGAGUGAUGAAGGCCUUAGGGUUGUAAAGCUCUUUCGUCCGGGACGAUAAUGACGGUACCGGAAGAAGAAGCCCCGGCUAACUUCGUGCCAGCCGCCGCAGUAACAC
rnacentral:rRNA from 1 species